UACGUAGGGUGCGAGCGUUGUCCGGAAUUAUUGGGCGUAAAGGGCUCGUAGGCGGUCUGUCGCGUCGGGAGUGAAAACUCAGGGCUUAACCCUGAGCCUGCUUCCGAUACGGGCAGACUAGAGGUAUGCAGGGGAGAACGGAAUUCCUGGUGUAGCGGUGAAAUGCGCAGAUAUCAGGAGGAACACCGGUGGCGAAGGCGGUUCUCUGGGCAUACCUGACGCUGAGGAGCGAAAGUGUGGGGAGCGAACAGG
rnacentral:rRNA from 1 species